AGCAGUAGCCGCGGUAAUACGAAGGGUGCAAGCGUUACUCGGAAUUACUGGGCGUAAAGCGUGCGUAGGUGGUGGUUUAAGUCCGUUGUGAAAGCCCUGGGCUCAACCUGGGAAUUGCAGUGGAUACUGGGUCACUAGAGUGUGGUAGAGGAUAGUGGAAUUCCCGGUGUAGCAGUGAAAUGCGUAGAGAUCGGAAGGAACAUCUGUGGCGAAGGCGACUAUCUGGGCCAACACUGACACUGAGGCACGAAAGCGUGGGGAGCAAACAGGAUUAGAUACCCCCGUAGUCCCUGUCUCUUAUAC
rnacentral:rRNA from 1 species